rnacentral:rRNA from 1 species
UACGUAGGGCGCAAGCGUUAUCCGGAAUUAUUGGGCGUAAAGAGCUUGUAGGCGGUUUGUCGCGUCUGCCGUGAAAUUUCGAGGCUCAACCUCGAACUUGCGGUGGGUACGGGCAGACUAGAGUGUGGUAGGGGAGACUGGAAUUCCUGGUGUAGCGGUGAAAUGCGCAGAUAUCGGGAGGAACACCAGUGGCGAAGGCG